UGUGGGGCGGACUACCAUGCAGUCGAGCGGAUGAAGGGAGCUUGCUCCUGGAUUCAGCGGCGGACGGGUGAGUAAUGCCUAGGAAUCUGCCUGGUAGUGGGGGAUAACGUCCGGAAACGGGCGCUAAUACCGCAUACGUCCUGAGGGAGAAAGUGGGGGAUCUUCGGACCUCACGCUAUCAGAUGAGCCUAGGUCGGAUUAACUAGUUGGUGGGGUAAAGGCCUACCAAGGCGACGAUCCGUAACUGGUCUGAGAGGAUGAUCAGUCACACUGGAACUGAGACACGGUCCAGACUCCUACGGGAGGCAGCAGUGGGGAAUAUUGGACAAUGGGCGAAAGCCUGAUCCAGCCAUGCCGCGUGUGUGAAGAAGGUCUUCGGAUUGUAAAGCACUUUAAGUUGGGAGGAAGGGCAGUAAGUUAAUACCUUGCUGUUUUGACGUUACCAACAGAAUAAGCACCGGCUAACUUCGUGCCAGCAC
rnacentral:rRNA from 1 species